rnacentral:rRNA from 1 species
CCUACGGGUGGCAGCAGUGGGGAAUAUUGGACAAUGGGGGGAACCCUGAUCCAGCCAUGCCGCGUGUGUGAAGAAGGCCCUCGGGUUGUAAAGCACUUUCAGUGAGGAAGAACGCCUGGUGGUUAAUACCCAUCAGGAAAGACAUCACUCACAGAAGAAGCACCGGCUAACUCCGUGCCAGCAGCCGCGGUAAUACGGAGGGUGUGAGCGUUAAUCGGAAUUACUGGGCGUAAAGCGCGCGUAGGUGGCUUGAUAAGCCGGUUGUGAAAGCCCCGGGCUCAACCUGGGAACGGCAUCCGGAACUGUCAAGCUAGAGUGCAGGAGAGGAAGGUAGAAUUCCCGGUGUAGCGGUGAAAUGCGUAGAGAUCGGGAGGAAUACCAGUGGCGAAGGCGGCCUUCUGGACUGACACUGACACUGAGGUGCGAAAGCGUGGGUAGCAAACAGGAUUAGAUACCCCAGUAGUC